AUGCGAUCUGUAAACGUAAGCUAACAUAAGCUAUGAUUAUAUUUUAAAGAAAAUAAAAAUAAGAGAAACCACCCAUGGCCAGGCUGAGUUCCCGAAGCUUCUGGAAGGCUCUUGACCAAAGUGAAUCACAGUGAACUUGGUAGGAAGAGCAAAGAGGCUGGAGCCACCCGGAGAGGGGAAGAUGUUUGAUGGGCUAUAAAAUUUACACUUCUGGAGGCCGCUGUUUGCUACAGGCAAGAACAUCAUGUGCUGAGGUGCUGUACUCGUGAAUGUUGUUGCCAAGACCCCAGGGCUAUGUUCUGAAGCCCUCGGUCCUGCCAUUAGUCACACCUUAUCCAGACCUGUAAUGGACUGGUCAUAUCCCCAGCUCCAGCCCGAUCUGCCUUGACUCGAGCAAGUCUG
rnacentral:lncRNA from 1 species